AUUAAAUACACCAUGAUAGGCAGGGUUCACACGCUGCUUUAACCUCAAUUUACAAACCACAAAGCCUGGAUUUAUAUAGCAUGCUAAGCCACAAUGAAGUCAUCAAGACCUAGCAUGUUAACAAUUUAUUACUAUUAUCACCAUUAUGUUACUUUUUCUCCAGGAGCCUGAGGCAGCUUACCUAAGAGUCCAACUUUAUUUUAAUUCCCACUGAAAUAAUCCUGUGAGGUAGGUUGCACUGAGUGCAUCACUGACCCAAAGUUACUCAAGCAGUUUCUAAGGUGAGGGUGGAUUGAAACAGAAGACUUUGACAGUUUUUGUCCAAUAUCUUUAACCACUGUAUCAGCUGGUGCAGUUGAACCCCUGGCAUAGAGUGAGGCUAGUUAUAUCACUAUGUUUAACCCCUGCUUCAUUAGCUAUUAGAGCUAGGCAAAGCAUUCAGAAAGGGUAGUUAUGAAGCAUGCUGGUGUGAGCAAAGCCUCUCCGAAGAGUUAAAGCAGCUGCUACAUUAUGUAAAAAGCUCAACAAAGCUGCUUGAAAAACUCCCCAGCUGUCUGCAUGUGAGUGCAUAAGCAGCCUUUUGGCCAGGAAUGUCAACAUGUUUUGCACAGUUCUAUUAGCCACAAUGGCAUUUGUUUCCACAUCCCAUUCAGAAUACAGGUUCUGACUUUUAAUGCCCUAAAUCACUAUAUGGCCCAAUAUCUUGCAGACCACAUUCUCCUGCAGUCAGCCAUAAGUAAGCUUACAUGCUACAAUAUAGGGUAAGUUAAUGUCUAGACCAGUGUUUCUCUGGACUUCAACUCCCAGAAUUCCCCAGCCAGCUAUGUCCACACAUCUUAAAGCUGAUGAGGAUGAGAAACACUGGUCUAGACAAUAAAGGGCUUAGAGGUUGCACUGGAGAAGAGACCUGAAAAGCAAGCAUGUGCAAGACUGUAUCAAGAUAUCAGAUGUCCCAAGCCAUCUAUAAUGGGAUAGAGAAUUCUUGAGAAUCAUUUUUAAAAUAAAAUUCUUAUACUCCCUAUGGUCACCCAACAAUCAUGGAAGAGGACAUCUUGAUCAGAUGGAAGACCACCAGGCUUUGAUGUAUUAUCUUAUCGGCAAUCAAGCUGAGGUAAUCCAACACUGCUUAUAAAAGAGAGCUGGAGGGAAGAGAAAUCUGAAGUCCCAUCUUCCACUUCAUCAAGGGUCAUCUUAAAGAGCGCUCAAGAGAACUUCCCAUACCUUUUUGUUGUUUGGCCAGGUACUAAGUCUUUCAUAUGUAAGAUAUGAAUGACUGACAGAGUGAAUGAAAAAUUGCCUAUGUGGCUAAAAUAAUGCUUUUAAAAUCUAUUGGUAGUCUCCUGGAGUUGUUGGGUUAUUUCCACUAAGAUUGCUCUGGUGCUGCAUAAAAGAUUCCUAAAUCCAUAGCAGAGGAUAAACCUCUUGUGACAUAUAAACCAUAAUAGCCAGGUUCACACAAUAUGCUUAGUACAGUACUAACCUCAAACUCUCAGGGUUCAGUUUCAAGGAAACAGAUACAGGAAAAUAGACACGAAGCCUAUAAGCAGAAGUCCAUAUGGACAAGACCCCUAACCCAAUCAAAGCCAACCCUGAGUGGCAUAUAAUUUGCCAUAUUUAUAAAUUCAGACUAAAAACUGAAACACCAUUCCUCUCCAGAGGGAGCCUGGGGAAGCAGCCAUGCUUUAAUAGACUUUCUAAAAGCCAGGAAAGGAGGCCAUUCCAGGGCACAGCUGCAACUGAAAGGCACGCUUCCAAGGUCCCUGCAGAUGGCAGUUCCUGAGAAAAGGGACUCAGACUGAGCCUGCCCUGGGCAGGUCCACGUUACUAUGAAAAUGUGGUCCUGCAGAUAUCCAGGCCCUGAACCAUGAAGGCUUUGAAAGGUGACAACCAAGACCUCCAAUUGCGCCCAGAAGCCAAGUGACAGCCGGUUCAGCUCUCAAAGCAGAAGCAUUCCAGGGGUGCCUAAGCAAGUCACUGCAUUCUAGGCCAGCUGUGGCUUCUGACUGCUCUUCAAGAGCAGACCCAUGGAGCGCGCAUCACAGUAAUCCAACUGGAAGCCAACUAAGGCAUGAGUGACUGUAAGCAAUUUUCAGUGACACAAUUUUCUCUGAUUUUGGUACUGUCUUUUCACUGCAAAAGCAGCCCAGCAACAAACUGUUGUUGGGACCAGCUAGUCCAGUGGUUUCCAAUAUUUCUAGGCUAGUGGGCACAUCUGUUAUCGUGAAAACAUGUUGUGUUUGUGCUUUUCCUGCUAACUUUGAUUCUUUUUCUUUGCAGGUGGACAGACUUCUGAACAACUUCUUUUUGUAAUCUAACGGAGAUCCACUGGAAGCUCAGAAACAUUCUUGCCAGUGCUGUAAAGACGACUUGGAAGGCUGGCAUUAUGCUUUGUAGUAUUCCAGCAGCAUCCUAUUUUUAAUUAAACACUUUUUAAAAACAUAAACAAGUAUAGGGGAUAGGGAGUUUGCUAAGCAGCAAGGUGGAUGUACACGAGCACAUUCAGUGGAGUGAGGACAUACUUGGUUAUUUGUAGAAGUAGGGUAUUUACAGCUGCUACUGUGCCAGUUUACAGGGUAAAACAAUUUAGUGGAAGCUUCUGUAACAUGCACCCUCAUUUUUAAACCACAAUUUCCAAGAUCCCCAUCCAACAAUUAUGAUGACUAGAGUGGUGGGAACUGAAUUUUGGCACAACUGGAUGGGGGCACUAGAUUAGUGAAAAAAAUGAUUUACAGUGGUAGAGUUCCUAGACCUGGAUUUCCCCCUACCAAAACACGAGAGGAGCAUCCUCCAGAAGCGUUCCUCCGAGUCCGCCUAAGUUGGACUUACUUGGCUUCUCCGAGGUUCCGGGAAACAAAGAAAAAAAAAAAAGCAACUAAACGGGUCCGUCCUGACGUUAUGAAAUGAAGAACUCCUGACCCGGGAUGUAGAAAGGCGCUUCCUUCUGUCUCUCAUUGCUUUCACAGGGCGGAAACUCCAGCCACUGGACUAGUGUUGGCACAGAGCCUAGCCGUUCAGUGUAAAGGUUACAGGCCGAGGAGGCCGGGCGGGCUUUGGAGCAAGGAAAGCCGCGGGCGCACCUUGCGAGGGGGCAGGGGACGCUCUGCUCUGCUCUGCCUGCUCCCUCCCUUUUCCUCCCAGUUACUGUUUUCGUGCCCGGGGGGACGCCUCACCCGCGCGCUAAAGGAGGCGCUCCUGCUCGCCAGUUUUGAAGUGGCAGCCCCGCUACUGCUGCUGCUCCUCCUCCUCCAGCCCCAGCUGCGCGGAGCGCUUUCGCGCGGCUUUGCCUCCUCUUCCUUCCACACGGGGGGCUGACCAUGACGGCGAAACCCGGGAAGUUCUGGCACGAGGCGUCGCACCAAAUCCUCGCUGGCGGCUCCGCAGGUCUUGUAGAAAUUUGCCUGAUGCAUCCCCUCGAUGUGGUGAAAACCAGCUCGGCAAGUACCACCUGCUCAGUUGCUUUGGAAGAACACUAAGAUGUUUAGGGCUAGCAUUGUAUCAUCAUCAUCAUCAUCAUCAUCAUCAUCAGG